AACGAACGCUGGCGGCAGGCUUAGCACAUGCAAGUCGAGCGCCCCGCAAGGGGAGCGGCAGACGGGUGAGUAACGCGUGGGAAUCUACCCAUCACUACGGAACAACUCCGGGAAACUGGAGCUAAUACCGUAUACGUCCUUCGGGAGAAAGAUUUAUCGGUGAUGGAUGAGCCCGCGUUGGAUUAGCUAGUUGGUGGGGUAAUGGCCCACCAAGGCGACGAUCCAUAGCUGGUCUGAGAGGAUGAUCAGCCACACUGGGACUGAGACACGGCCCAGACUCCUACGGGGGGCAGCAGUGGGGAAUAUUGGACAAUGGGCGCAAGCCUGAUCCAGCCAUGCCGCGUGAGGGAUGAAGGCCCUAGGGUUGUAAAGCUCUUUCACCGGUGAAGAUAAUGACGGUAACUGGAGAAGAAGCCCCGGCUAACUUCGUGCCAGCCGCCGCAGUAA
rnacentral:rRNA from 1 species